CCCUUUCCUGAUACAACUGUUAGUUCAUGCUGGUUUAAAUGAGUCCUAAACUUCAUUGUAUGUGACAUUAAACAUCUUAAAUGUAACUUUCUGUAGCAAAGAAAGCUGCAGGAGCCCAGGUUUCAUCUUCACACACAUCAGGAGCAGCUGCUCCAUCACAAACACCACAGAAGAAGAACAACACUGGAUCAGAUUUAAUGUAACCGGCUGUUUUUAUCUGGAUUUAUUUGACCGGGACAGAGUUCAUGUUCAUGGACAUCAGGAUAAAAACAGAAGAUGGAAACCUGCCAGAUUUGAGCUGCUCAUGUGUCGUCCCUGGGCAGGUCACAUGACUCUAUCCAACACACAAAGACACACAGACACACAAGAAAAGCCAGAGAAACAAAGACGAAUCCAAACAAUCCAUCAUACUGAGUUAAAGUGAUCACAGGUCUGCUUUGUUGGAGCCUUCAAAGUGUCACAUGUGGACUUAAUACUACCACUGAAGGCCACGCCCCUCUGGUCAUGUGAUCAUGUGGUUUGUAGGAACGCUCCUCUUCCUCAGAGGAUCCACCUGUGCUUCCUUUCCUCCACCUGUUACAGUGAGGGAACGUCCUCCAUGAUGGAGGAGCUGCUGGAAAGUGCUGAGAGUUUCCUCCAGAGUGAGACCUCUGUCACAGUUCAGAGGAUCUACGGCAGCAGAGACCUUCAUGGACACUAAAAGUCUCAAACACACAACAACAACAUCACACUGACUCCACUCUGACAUCACUGAUCAAUAAUCAAACAGAUCAAACUGAUUGAUCAGCCAUCAGAGGAGUCGGAUCAGUGGAGCUGCUUCUGUUCCUGAUGUUUGAUCCUGGACCUGAAGCGUCCCUGCAGAGGAGACACGACAGCUUCACACAGAAACACAAUAAAAUAAUAAGUGAAAGAGAACCAAGUGUGAGUAAAGUUAUACAUAGAAGUUGGUGGCUGAUAAGUUCUUGUAGUGACACCAGCUGUAACUGUGAGCAGCACGAUUCUCCAUCCAUGAUGUUUCCCUGGCUCCAGGCCACACAGCUGUAUCUGUCUGUGGGGCGUUUAAGGGUCAGGCUGAACUGUCCGCUUUUCACACGCUCGUCUUUCUUUCACUCUGUGAUGCUGCUCCUGUUUGUCAGGCUUCUCAGGACGGUGCCACGCGCUUGUCUGCUGGAGACCAUGAGCCUUGUUAGUCACACAUUAGCACCGUGGUAGGAAACAGCCUCCAUCAUUUCAUCAGAUCUGAAUUUGGACUGUUUCCCUCUGGAUGAGAACCAAGUCUGUCAAAUCUAUUGAUCCAACACAAACUAUCAAACACAUUGGCUCACAGUCAGAUUGGCUUUGUAUGGAUGGUGUAACAGGGGCUGGGAAAGGAUGCUGAAAGCUGAAUAUAAUACAGAACAAUAACAGGACAUAUAAUCAUGUAGCAAACAUGAUCUUCAACAGGCACACUUCUAUUAUUCAUGAUCACAAACACAAAGAACUUGUGCAGCCCUGAUAUCAGCCCUAAUAUAUGAGUGUGUUUGCCCAAAGAUUGAAACAGCAUCAACAUGACAGCUGUAAGAAAUCUUCUCUCAGCCUUGUUUGGCAGAAGAUCCCUGCAACAAAGAUUGUAGCUGAAAGAUGACGUGUGUAAAGUUUGUCUUUGGGAGGGUUGAGGCUGUUUUUAGACCUUUGAUAGUUUCCAAUCCAGUUCUGAAAGACAGAAAUAAAAACAACAUCAUUAAGAUCAGAUCAUGGAGCUGUUUCCUGCCUUGUUUCUAGCUUCACAUUACAAGACUUUACUACAAUAAAGAUGCUAACAUGUAUCUGUAGGAACAACAUCACUGAAUCUAUAACAACUGGAGCCAAACCAGUGGCUCUGCUGGGAUCACUGGUGAGCCAACACUUCCUUGUUGAUGCAGAUUUCAGGGCUUCCUGUUGCUCCUCCGUUAUAACUGUUCUCUCUUCUCAACACAUGAUGACACAAAGGAAUCAGCAGUGACGAAGAUGAUGCUGAAGCACACAUUUCACACAUAUAACAGAGCAGUCCAGUUACACACACCUCUGCUUGACAUUAGGCCUCAAACAAAGACACAAAACACUAACUUGACUCUAAAUAGAAGAAACUGGCAGCUUUUUCUGUUCUGUGCUUAUUUAUAUUUGACACACAUGCUUCUCUUUGUGCAAACACACAUUGCACUAUAAGGGUAACCUAGCACACAAUGAUUGGACAGCACAGUGAUGAUGCUGGGAGAUCCUAUACGAAGCAACACAGAAACACUGAGAACUUUAAACAUUGAUUAUAUUGAGAUAAGCAGCCGACCCAGUCUAGAUAAAGGCGAGCAGCUGGGACCGCUGCUGCACCAAAAACAGGUUUCAGUGUUUCCAUGUGUGUGUGUGUGAUGUCUUUACUUAUACUGGUCAAUAGACUUUAGUCAACACAUGAUUGAAAGGUGUUACACAUGAAAUAAAAACAGUGUUUCAUCUUUAUUCCUCUGAAGCAGCUGCAUUAUAACCAAUCUGCUCCUUUGUGGCCUUUAAAACAGCUUAAAUAACUGUUGUUAUAUUUGUUGCAGUUUCUGCUCCUCUUGGACAGAUGACUCUUGAAAAGACAUUUUUGAAUUUCAAUGUGACUUUAACUGGAUAAAUAUGGGAUAUAUAAACGUCCCUCUGCAACAAACUGAUUCCAGCUUCUACCUCAUGAUAGGAAUGUUUUUGUGGCUCAAGAUGACCUGAUAUCUUUCAUGAUGGAGACAUUUGACACAUGUUUCACAUAUUAUAGACCAACAAGUUAUUCAUAGCAGUUUAAAUACGGGGAGUCACUUUUGGGCCCAGCAGAUAAAACAGAGCCAAUAUUUCCUUCUUUAUUUAAGUGACGUGUGUCACAGAUGUGACCUAGUAAAGUGUAGCUGAACAUUAGUAACGUUAUUAACACUCUCAGCUCGUCCUUGUUCCAGACCUGAAGAUCCUCUUCUUUCAUUCAGCAGCAGCUUCAGGUCUCUGAUGGUCCAGGCUUGUUGUUGGGAAACAGCCCUGCUGGGAUGAUGGUGUCCUCACAGAAACAGUCAGUGAUGCUGUUGAUCUCCAUCACAGAGCACGUCCCAGUCUGCAGUCUCAGUCCUGCAGGGCCUCGCUGGCUUCCUGACUCCACCCAGUCAACAACAGGAAGUGUUUGAAGUGCAGGAACAAACUGAGGCUGUGGUCAAACAGGAGUUUUUAUCUCCUGGCUCUGACUCUCACUGCGGCCCCGCUGCUGUGUCAACAUGUGUUUGUGCUAAACAAUGAUGGAAAGUGUUAUAAAUGACUUGUUGGCCUCUGAUCUGUCACAAACAGCUGAAACGUGUCUCUCAUGAGUCACAUGAAGGUUUCUGACAGAAAGGACAAAAAGUAGCUGCAGUCAGUUUGUGUCAUUUUUAUAUUUAUUCAUCUGGGAGAAAAAUCUGAGGGACAUUAAAAUGCGUUUUUCAACAGAGACAAGAACAUAAAUAUAACAGAACAGCUAAAUGAACAUAUUUCAAGUAAACAGCUGGACUGAUCAGGUCCAAACACAGAGUGAUCAACAAACAGCUGUCAUAUCUUUAUAUAUAAGCUCUUUAUAAAUCCUGUUCACUGCAGUCUGUUUCCUAAUAAUGUCAAACUGUUAGAAACACAGAAACAUCAGAAUCGUCUUUGUUCACAUAAACCUGUCUGGGAUCCUUUGUUGUUCUUUUGAUGCAGAGUUACAUUAUAAAUAUAAAGAGUUAUUUCAGAGUCUCAUCAGUUUUCCUGCAUGUCUUUAUUGAACACAUCAGCAGGGCUGAAGCUCUCAUGUUAAACACACACUGAUCUAUGGACACGUUCAUGUGUUUCUAACAGCAUCAUAACCAGGCUGUUAUCAGCCUGCACUAACAUUAUGUCACACACACUGAAUGUAACAGUGACAGUUUACAUCAUCACACAAUCAGCUGUGAUUGUUUCACUGUCAUCAAACUAGUCAACAGGAAGUAGAAUCAAUAGAAACCAAUCAUUUACUGACAGCAUGUCUGAUUGAAAUAAGUGCAGAUUAUGUAUGAAGUAUAACUGCACACAGUAACUGUGUUACAAUAAGGACUUAACAGCGCCUCUGCUGGAGUGUUUCAGUACUGCGUUAACUAGAAUACACCACCUCCUCCUCCUCCUCACACCACCUGCUACAGCUCUACUCUUCUAUGACUACAGUCAUCCACAGCACUGAUGUGAGGUCACAUGGUUCAUAUGUAAGGAGCACAGAGACGUCCUAGCAGCUGACCUCAGGUCAGUUUAAUGACUGUGAGCAGCAGCUGUGUUAUUGUCACUGUGACAGGGAGACACUCUCAGACACAGCGCUCAUGUCAGCUUGUUCUCAUGCAGGAGGAUCAGGAGCUCCAUGUUUGUCUUUCUGUUUGAAUCAUGAUGUGUUUGUGCCAUCAGAGUCUGUCAUGAGUACUCAGGGUUUCACAGCAGCUCUUCUGGAUGCUGACGAGGACUCCAACCUCAUGUUUCACCUCUCUGAGCUUCUGAUGUCUGUCAACACUCGUGUUUCUUCUCUGGGCUCAUCUGGACAAAAACACCUUUCUGUGUUUUGCCAGAGCUUUUA
rnacentral:lncRNA from 1 species